ensembl:lncRNA
UUUUUUUUUUUUUUUUUUUGAGAUGGAGUCUUGCUCUUGUCACCAGGCUGGAGUGCAGUGUGGUGCCAUCUUGGCUCACUGCAAGCUCCACCUCCUGGUUCAAGCAUCAAUCCAAUUUUUCUAAAGCAAAUGUUAGCUUCCGGGGAGAAGAUGUGGCAGGACGAUUUCCAGGAGCACAUGGCCCUAGGCAUACUGUCCCUUUGAGAUGGCCUUAGUUUGGGCAGGGAUGCUGCAGGUGGUCAAAGAUGGACCUCCCAUCCAGUGGAGGCUGGCCCCUGGCUGUGUGGUGUGUGCAUCGCUGGGCCUGAGUGUGUGUGCAUGCGUGUGUGUGUGUGUGUGUGUGUGUGUUGUUGGGGUGGAAGUGGGAAGUCAGACCUGUGUGGCAAAAACCCGAGUCUAGUGGAAGGCCUCUCCUGCCCCUACCCACCCUCCUCCCUGGCAGAGGGGGCUGAACUGUGGCUGGAGGGAGCCACGCCAGGCUGGGAUCUCUGAGGGGUCCUUGAACCACAUCUGAGCUCUGGGAAGGCUCCCCGGUGCGUGGAGAGCAGAGAGGGAGGCUCCGUGGUGAUUUACAGGCACCUCCUUUUGAUCGUCUCGCUCCCUUGGAGAGAUCCCUCCUCCACACCUGGGGGCUGCAGGGGAGGCCGGGCGCAGGGGGUUUCCAGGUGGCCUGGGGCAGCAGGGUCUGGUGUCCCUGGGUUGCAGGAAGCUUCCUUCUCUCUGGCAUGGCCUUGCUGGUACCUGGCUGCUUGUGCCUAUCACUGAGCAACCCAGCUCCUGUCCAGCGGGGCGGGGUCCAGAGUGCACCCCUGCCCCCUCACAUCUGGCUCUGCUUCCAUUCUUCCAGGGUCGAUGCGACUGUUUCACUGGCCUCCUCUUCUGCCUAGACCCACGGGGUUUCUUCUUCCUGCCUCCCUGCCUGACAUUCCUGGACUCCACUCCAGGCGUGUGAAAGCCCUGGAUGGGUGUCCCAACAAUUUCAGUUUUUUCUUGGUCAAGAAGCCCAGCUUUCAGGCAGGAUCUAGGCACGGCCUGUGGGGUGGUCAGCAGUGGGCAGGUGCAGAUGCAAAGGAGGGCAGAGGUUGCUGAGGCUGUGGACAGCCUUGUGACAGGUUCUGAAAGAGCACUUGAGCUAGGAUGCCCAAGUGGGCCUUCGAGGGAGGCGGCCACUCUGGAGCAGGGCGGGGACAGCCCUCAGGACUCCCUCGGUCCUGACCAUCUUUGGGAGGAACUCCAGCAUGUCCAUGGGAGGGCAGGGGGCCACUGGCAGAGAGGUUCCUUGAGUAUCCCUAGCACUUAGAUAGCGCCUGGUGUAUGAGAGGCAAGCAAUACAUCAUAUUGCAUGCAGGACCAGGGUGCGUGCCCAGGUCCCAGACCCAAGAUGGAGAAGGUGUUUAGCAGAGAGAUUGUUCUGUGUCUGUGCAAAUUGAGGCUGAUACCAGCAAUCCCAGAACAUAUGUGUUGAGUACUUACCUGUACGUUCAGGUAAAUUACCUGCCCCAGCCCAGUCUCCUGUUCCCUCCCCGAACAUUCUCCCCUUACUUGUCCAGGGGCCUCGGCUCCAAGUGGAUGGGACUCCUCCAGCCUGGAGUCCCUUCUGUCACCUCUCCUCACAGCCCACACACUCCCCCAUAGCUCCCCA